UUGUAGAAUAGUCCCAAUCCAAAAAUUGGAAAUAUUAUUUGUACUUGGGAGUAAAAAACCUCCCAUAAUAGUUGUCCUGUCAGAAUUCAAAAGAAGUAAUUUAAAAGUCACGCGCAAGUUCGCGAAAACACCUCGUGGGUUACAUAACAGAGGGAGGUGAAUAUUUUCACGAAACGUUUGUUCGCCACCACAGCAACCUAACUAAGUACAUUAUAUUUAUUGUAUAUUUGUGAUUUAUGAAAAAAAUAUAUAUAUUUGCGUAUUUUUAUCAUCAAUUAUAAAAAUACAAAAAAUAUAAUACAUUUAGUUAGGUUGCUGUGGGAACUUGCGCGUGACUUUUAAAUUACUUCUUUUGAAUUCUGACAGGAUCACAGGACAACUAUUAUGGGAGGUUUUUCCUCCCAAGUACAAAUAAUAUUUCCAAUUUUUGGAUUGGGACUAUUCUAC